UACGGGAGGCAGCACCGUGAAUUCUUCCGCAAUGGACGAAAGUCUGACGGAGCAACGCCGCGUGUAUGAAGAAGGUUUUCGGAUCGUAAAGUACUGUUGUUAGAGAAGAACAAGGAUAAGAGUAACUGCUUGUCCCUUGACGGUAUCUAACCAGAAAGCCACGGCUAACUACGUGCCAGCAGCCGCGGUAAUUA
rnacentral:rRNA from 1 species